GGGGCUAUAGCUCAGCUGGGAGAGCGCUUGCAUGGCGUGCAAGAGGGUCAGCGGUUCGAUCCCGCGCUUAGCUCCG
rnacentral:tRNA from 1 species